rnacentral:rRNA from 1 species
CAUGCAAGUCCAACGUGAAAGGGGAGCAAUCCCCCGGUAGGGUGGCAAACGGGUGAGUAAUACAUGGGUGAUCUACCUUAGGGAUGGGGAUAUCCUUCCGAAAGGAGGGGCAAUACCGAAUAUUGUCCGGAGCCGUGAAGGGUUCCGGGGAAAGGGAGGCCUCUGAUACAAGCUUUCGCCUUAAGAUGAGCCCAUGGCCCAUCAGCUAGUUGGUAGGGUAAAGGCCUACCAAGGCUACGACGGGUCGCUGGUCUGAGAGGACGACCAGCCACACUGGCACUGAGAUACGGGCCAGACUCCUACGGGAGGCAGCAGUGAGGAAUAUUGCGCAAUGGGGGAAACCCUGACGCAGCAACGCCGCGUGUGGGAAGAAGGCCUUCGGGUCGUAAACCACUUUUGCACGGGACGAAAAAGGGAUAUCGAACAAAUAUCCCCGAUGACGGUACCGUGAGAAUAAGCCACGGCUAACUCUGUGCCAGCAGCC